rnacentral:rRNA from 1 species
AAAGAUUUAUCGGCAAAGGAUCGGCCCGCGUUGGAUUAGGUAGUUGGUGGGGUAAAGGCCUACCAAGCCGACGANCCUUAGCUGGUCUGAGAGGAUGAUCAGCCACACUGGGACUGAGACACGGCCCAGACUCCUACGGGAGGCAGCAGUGGGGAAUAUUGGACAAUGGGCGAAAGCCUGAUCCAGCAAUGCCGCGUGAGUGAUGAAGGCCUUCGGGUCGUAAAGCUCUUUACCAGGGAUGAUAAUGACAGUACCUGGAGAAUAAGCUCCGGCUAACUCCGUG